UACGAAGGGGGCUAGCGUUGUUCGGAAUCACUGGGCGUAAAGCGCACGUAGGCGGACUGGUCAGUUGGGGGUGAAAUCCCGGGGCUCAACCCCGGAACUGCCUUCAAUACUGCCAGUCUUGAGUCCGAGAGAGGUGAGUGGAAUUCCUAGUGUAGAGGUGAAAAUUCGUAGAUAUUAGGAAGAACACCAGUGGCGAAGGCGGCUCACUGGCUCGGUACUGACGCUGAGGUGCGAAAAGCUGGGGAGCAAACAGUAGAUACCCCGUAG
rnacentral:rRNA from 1 species